rnacentral:rRNA from 1 species
AUUCCAGCUCCAAUAGCGUAUAUUUAAGUUGUUGCAGUUAAAAAGCUCGUAGUUGGAUUUCGGAUGGGAUUUGCCGGUCCGCCUUUGAGGUGUGUACUGGUAGGUCCUAUCUUGUUGUCGGGGACUAGCUCCUGGGCUUCACUGUCCGGGACUAGGAGCCGACGAAGUUACUUUGAGUAAAUUAGAGUGUUCAAAGCAAGCCUACGCUCUGAAUAUAUUAGCAUGGAAUAACACGAUAGGACUCUGGCUUAUCUUGUUGGUCUGUGAGACCAGAGUAAUGAUUAAGAGGGACAGUCGGGGACAUUCGUAUUUCAUUGUCAGAGGUGAAAUUCUUGGAUUUAUGAAAGACGAACUUCUGCGAAAGCAUUUGUCAAGGAUGUUUUCAUCA